GCAGAGAGUCCAGAGGGGCAUGGACUGCCUGGGUCACCCAAUAGGCCUAGGGAAGAGUGAGGGCCGGACCCACCCCACCUGACCCCAGCGAGUGGACCCAGCUUGGUCCUGAGGCCUUCUCCAGAGGUCACCCAGCGCAGGCAGCCGCAGCACUCAGCAAAGGUCCCAGAUCAGGGCCAAGGGGGAGCUGAGCACCAGGGGACCCUGUGCCUGACCAGGAGGCCCUAACCUCCUGCAGGCCUCAACGCCAGGCCCUGCUCAGAGCUCGGCUGAAACUCCUCAUCCUGGCUCCAAACAGAGGCCCAAAAGUCCCUGGUAUCAACUCCAGAAGGGGCGAGACCCGAACAAGUUCCAAACCAGGCCCAAAUAGUAUCCCAAACUCAGUCCCAAACACAUUCUCACCCCCGGCAGCAGGCUGCAGGCCUCCAGCUACACACACGGCCCUGGGCAACUCUCAGUCUGGCCACCCAUUCGAUGCUGCCAGCCCCAAGGGUGUGGGAGGGGGGUCUCAGAGUGUCCCAGGGUACUGGCCACACAUGCCCGACACCAGGGUCAUAAGGUCCUCUCAGCAGAGCCACUGCAGCACCAAAGGCAUUUCUGGAAGGAGGCAAGGACGCGUCAUCUAGAUGUCAAGCCCCAGCGUGCGAUUCUGUCACAGUUCACCCCACCUUCACCCCGAGACGGAAGACGGAAGAGCUUCGCACACAGGCGGGAAGAGGUCAGGACCAGUCCAGCCUCACUGGCUUCAGAACUGGCCUGGGGGCUACCUUGACCCACAGGAAGGGAAGAGGAACGUGCUCUGGGCAGGGCAAGGCAGGACCUGCAGCACCCACAGACCAGCAGUAAAGGACCCCCGGAACUUUCCAAGUCUAGCACAAAACCCAGAAGCCACAAAGGAAAAUACUGGCAGAUUUAAAUGCAUGAAGUCAACAUUCUUUUUGUAGAGCUAAAGAAACCAUAAGCAAAAUUAAAAGCCAAAUGCAUUCUGGGAGGAAA
rnacentral:lncRNA from 1 species